UACAGAGGUGGCAAGCGUUGUUCGGAUUUAUUGGGCGUAAAGGGUCCGUAGGCGGUUUGGUAAGUCGGGUGUGAAAUCCUACAGCUUAACUGUAGAACUGCAUUCGAAACUGCCAGACUAGAGUAUGAGAGGAGUUAAGGGAAUUCCCGGUGUAAGGGUGAAAUCUGCAGAGAUCGGGAGGAACACCAGUCGCGAAGGCGCUUAACUGGCUCAUUACUGACGCUCAGGGACGAAAGCUAGGGUAGCAAACGGG
rnacentral:rRNA from 1 species